AUAAAUUGCAUAGCCAUCAGAGAUAUACAUGAUGAAGAUGGGGUGGACACUAGUUUGGUUAAUUCGAUAUCCAAACUGAUUAAUGUUAAACGGUUUGGAUUAGUUUGAGUUUUUUAACAUUUUUUACAUCUCUCAAACCAAAAUAAUAAAAUAAAAAACAAGAAAAAAAAAAAACAAAAAAGCUAUGGAAAACUUGCAUGUCCCCAAACCUAUGGUUUGUAGCAAGGAGGGGUUUUCUGAUGCAGAACUGCCGAGAUAAGGAUCAUCAAAUCGAAUAUCUUCCUCCAUACUGCCUUCUUUAAAUAUAUGGAAUCCAGUUACUUUAAUGAGUGAGCCAUCUAAGUCUAACAAACCUCUUUCUCUUUUUCUUUUUUCAUACGCUAACACACCUGGAUAUCUAACCUCCACAUGGUUCCAUUCUUUUUCCCAAGCCAUUUCUUCAAACCGAUUAUCAUUUUUUAUAGCGAACGCAUGGAGAUCAAAGAUAUAUGUAUGAUCGAUAUCCAAUUUCAACAUACUUUGUAUAUCGUCCCAUAAAUAGUAGUGCCAAAAUUCUUGAAAUUUGCUAUUGAUGAACACCUCGAGUUUAAGGAAAGGAUACCCGGCACCCGACACAGGUGCAAUAAGAAGACAAAGAAGUUUGGCAGGGAAUUUAUUACGAAACCAGAAAGAACUUGAAUGUCCACUGCUUUGCUGAUUGAACCACUCUGGUAUUCUUGUUCCUGGAAACAUAAACUUGGUUCCUCCAGCCUCAUACAGUUCCUGUUAGUCAUAAUUCAUAAAGAAUUCAUAAGCUUAACAACAUUAAGUGCACCAUCAUCAAAUCAUAUACAUUAUAAAAAGACAAUACCUGAUUUAGAAGCAUGCUUUUACUCGAGGAAGUCAAGGAUGCACAGUUUAUUGCCCUGAAAUCUUUUAAGUUUGGUGGAAGCCCUCUAAUUUUCUGAAGAUGCUCGCAAUCACUCACAUCAAGAGUUCUUAAAAAUUUCAGUUCUUUGAAGAAUUCGGGAAGGAUUGUGAAAUUAUUCCCCGAUAGAUCUAAAUAUUCUACAUGAGUAAACCUCUUGGAACCUGUUAAAAAAAAAUCAUCACAUAGAUUGCAAUUCAUGGCACGAAACCAACGUGCCUUUGAAGAUAGUAUUGAGCCCACUUUUUCUUCACCUUCUUCCGAUUCUACCCAUUGCCACCUGUUGCAAUAUUCAAUAUGGAGUUGAAACAAUUCGGGCAUCAUCACUAAUCUGCAUGGUAACUCAACAAUUAAACAGCUCCACAGGUAUAACACUUGAAGUCCAAUAAGAUUUUGAAAUGAAAAUGGCAAUUCUUUUAUGGGAAGGUCUCUCAAAACAAGUUGCUUUAUGUUUUCCAUCUCUCCUAAUAUUUCUGGAAAAUACUCAAGACUGGAACACCCAGAAAGUUGAAGUGUUUCAAGAGAGGUCAAGUUGAGAGGAGGAAAACUUGUAAGCUUCCUGCAACCAUAAGCAUUCAAUUUUUUAAGUUUAUUCAGAAAACCAAUUGAGUCAUCAACUGCAACUAAACUCUCACACCCUUUAAAUGAAAGUUCCCUCAAAUUUGGGAGAUCAGAUACAUCAGGUAUCUGUGUUAAAAAUUUGCAGUUGUCAAACUUCAAAACUGUUAGAUGCCCGAACUUCUGCAAAGGAAAAAAAAAGAAGAAAAGAAAUAAGAAGGAAUGAAUAAAUUUAUAGUGAAUUUAUUAAUUCACUGGAUGAGGAAAAUAUACUGUAUAAACUUGCCUUCGAUGAGCCAUGAAACUCAAAUGACGCCAUGGAACUGUCAGGUAACUUGCAUAUAAGAAGGUUGUUCGGAUGAAAGUUAGAUGGUAAACACUUUGAAGGAUAUCUGUGCCAUUCCAGUACUCUCAAACCUUCUGGAAAAUAAUUGGGACCUUUGGAAAAUUUGCCAUUUCUAAUAAUAAGGAUUUUAAGGUUUUCCAUCUUCAUGAAGGCGUUUUGGUUCCAUUCCACUGUCUGUUCUUUGUCAGAUAUGGAGAAAUCCAGACAUAUGAUUUCAAUCUUACUAGUUCCCUGUUAAUUCAAAAUAGCACGAAUCAACCACAAUACAACUUAUGUGAAAUAUCAAUUGACUGAAACGUUUAGAUAAAUUUACAAAUUAUCAAGAAAAAGUUAACUAUGAUGUAAAUAUGAGAUAGACCAAAAAAAAUUCAACUAUUCAUGAGCUCACUCACCGUGUUGUGUUUUAAAACUUGAAUUAUAUCUUUUGGUAACCAUAAUCUCUUGCACUUCCCUGGCUCUUCAGGUGAUAUCUGCCGCUCAAUUUCUCUACCCACAACCUGAAUUAGGUCAUGCAUAUUUACUGUACCAUGCCUAACCUUUAUGAGAGAUUUGUCAACCAACACAUCAAUAUGAUGUUUCAUGCAGUUAUUGUAAAGACCACGUAGCAUAUGUUCAACCUCUGUCAAUUUGCAUCCUUUGAAGCAACAAGCAAUGUCAAGGAAAACAUUCUUUUGUUCUUCCCCCAAAGCAUCAAAGCUUACUUUUAGAAUUUCUAGGAUUUCAUCAUUGGGAAUUCUUUUAUAAUGUUCCACAGCAGAUUUCCAUUCUGCUACCCUUUUUCCAAACAUGUUGGAACCUAUGACUUCCAAAGCCAAUGGAAGGCCAGAAGCAUAAGUUACUACACGAUUCAAAACGUCCUCAUAACUUGGAUCAAUUUUUUCUCUUUUGAAAGCAUUCCAUGUAAGCAAUUGUAGAGCAGCAUUCUGAUUCAAAACCUCCACCUCAUAUCUUUUUUUAACCCCAUGAGGUGCUAGCAGUUGUUUGUCCCGAGUGGUGAUGAUGAUUAUGCUGCCAGGACCAAACCAAUCACGUCGUCCAGCAAUUGUCUGUAAUUGCUGGGGCUUGUCAACAUCGUCCAGAAUCAAGAGAACCUUCUUCCCCUUAAGCAUAGACUGGAUCUUUGAAAUUCCUUGUUGCUUACUUCUUACUUUGAUGUCCUCUCCAAGUAUUUCUGAAAGAAGAAUGCUUUGGAGGUGUUGUAACCCAUGAUUGUUUGAACUUUCUCUCACGUUUUCAAGAAAACACAAACCAUCAAAAUUCUCAGUAAUUAUUAAAUCAUUAUAGACAGCUCGAGCAAGAGUUGAUUUUCCUAUCCCACCCAUUCCGUGGAUCCCUAUCAUGCAGACACCAUCAUGGUUUCCAACAUCCAAAAGCUUCCUUACUUCUUGUACUUUUGACUCUAGUCCAACAGGCAGAUCCGCAACAUGUAAACUAGCAGGGUUAAUCUUCUCAGAGACCGAUGCAACAAUUCUCCCAAUAAACUUGUAUUCAUAUUCAUCUCUAUCUCAAACAAAAAAGUUUCAAUGAAAUUAAACUAAAAGCCUAGUAUCCAUGCCCUGAUAAGUCCAUACGUGUAUCGACAAGGUUAACACAUAUUUCUUUUCUCUUUAAAUUUGAACAUUAAAUUGUCAGACAAGUAAAACUUAAUCCAAUAAAAAAUAAAAAAUAAAAAGAAAGGUAUGGUUGGGUACCUAUCUUUGAAAUGAAGGCCAGACAAGUUGGCUACUUGACGCAGAGCCCUCUCCCAUUUCUGCAACUUGUCUGGAAAUCUUUUCUUAUGCUUAGCCAAUGCUUCUCCAUAAGUACCUUUCUGGUGUCUGACAUCACAAGGAUAGACCUUAUAAAAGACCGGUAUAACCAUCAUCCCAUUAUACUGGGCGCAGAAAAGGAUGGUUGCAAGUUCAUCCAAGCAAAAUGAGGAAGAAGCAAAGUCUUCAGAGAGCACAGUGAUGGCAAUCCUGGAAUCUUGAAUUGCCUUCAAAAGUGCUGGUGUUAUUUCCUCUCCACUGUGAAGCUUGUCUUCGUCAAAGAAGGUAUGAAUUCCCUUGUCACAAAGAGCCUUGUAGAGAUUGCCAGUAAAACCAUAGCGUGUGUCUUCCCCUCUGAAGCUGAGGAAAACAUCGUAGAUUGAUGCACGAGAACGUGUUGCCGCAGCCAUUAUUAGAAGAAAAAAGUUUAGUAUGGUUAUGGUUGAUAUGGUAGGAGGUAGAAUGAAACUUGAACAAAUAUGAAAAUGAUAGUAUACCAAAUGCUGUGUAUUAUAAAGAAGAUAGCCGCCUUUGUGGAAAAUAUCUUGUUUUUUUUCAUUCUCUGUUAUAAAAAGUCAAGCUCUUAUAAAGAAAGAUGCUCUCACUUUUUUCAUUUUAAAAAAUACUUUUUAUAAUCAAAUUCUUACAAAUAAACUAUAAAAAGUAUUUUUAAUAACUGGUAUUUUAUUUAAAAUAAUUAACUGGUGGUACUACUAAUUCUCCCGCCCCUAAAAGAAUUGUUAGAGAAUCAAAGUAUAUAUUAACUAAUAAGUAAUCUGAUAAUUUUUAAUCACAAAGAGCCUCAAAAUUUGUCUUUUAUUAAAACAGAGUAAAAAUAUAAGUGAGAGACGAAAAUAGAGAAGAGAUAGAAUACGAGAAAAAAGUUAUGCAUACUCGAAGCGUAAUUUUUUUUACAUAACUAAGAAUCCAUUCAAAUUCACUGAGUAUCACUGAAACUAACGCUCUAGAAUCCAUUAAAAUUACUAGGUCAUAUUGUCAGAGUAACUGGAAUUCCGUAUCUCACAAAAUCUUAAAACAACCAGCUAUGUUUUCAUCCAAGACAAACCUUAUCAUGAUAAUGAAUAAGAAGUUUAGAUAGAUCAUAUAGUAGUAUGCUAGCUAAGUCCUAAGAAGUACACUUUCAAAAUUUAACUAAUUUAAGUUUUUCUCCUUUCUGAUCAAAUUAUUUAGCAUAACCAGUAGGAACCUGAUCAUCCUAGCAAUUAGAAGGGAGAAAGUAGAACCUGCAAAAAUAAAAAAGUUAAAGAUAUAAAUUUGUAUUGACUUAAAUAUUUAAAAUGAAUAAAUAAUCAAUUUUCUUCCUAAAAGUAUGAGGCAGUAUGCAGUGUCAAUUUAAUCCCUAAAAGUAAUAAAAUAAAGGAGAAAAAAUCUCCAAUGUCCUUACCGUAUCACUUUAGUUCCUAAACUUAACUUAUUGUCAUUUGGUCCUUAAGAUAUGCUAAUUUUUUUUAUUUUAAUAAGUCACACAACAUUUAGAAUUUUGGAUUAAAAUAAGUGACAACUUGCAUUUCCAAAGAACUUUUUUUUUAUCUAACCUAAAAAAAAUACCUUUUUAUCAUUUUAUUACGUUCAGGAGCUCAAGUGGCCACGUCCCGCAAUUUCAGGAAAAAAAAUGACAUUUACUUAUCUAUUUGACAUGUUCUUAUAUCUAACUAAUAUGAUAUUAAUAAUCUUUUGUAAACUUCGAUAUUUUAACGUGAAUGCUAGUUUAGUUGACUUUUUGCUCUUAAAUUUACAAUUUUAGUUAUUUGAUAAAAAAAACAUUAUUCCAUUAUCAUGCCUCAAGUUAAACUAAGUUAGAAAUAUAUUUAAAACACUAUAUAUUACUAAAAGUUUUAUGUUCUGUUUAUAUGACUGAAAUAUAUUGUCAAUAAAAAUACAAACAUAAAUUAAUUAAUUACUAUUCAUAUUUUUUAUCAAAAUUAAAAUUUUCAAAUGUACUUUUAGAUCACAUAUACUAAUAUUAGUAGUAUAAAAAAAAUUGUAAUAUAUUAUUAAAUAAGUAUACAAAAAAAUUACAAAUAUAUUUUUAUAUUGUUUUAUAGUAGAACUUGUAAGGGAAAAUCUAAAACUAAACAAAAAGCAUAUUAAAUAAUUUUUUUACUUUCUUUUAAUUACAGUGUAUAUAUAAGAUAGAUAUAUUUUUUACUUACUAAAACUAAACACAAUUUUGAUAUCUGUUGGUUUAUGUAGUUUUGAAAUCUGACUAUAAAAAUAUAUAGAAAGUUAAACUUGAAAGGUUGCAUAUAGAAAAGGUUAUAUAUAGAAAAUACAUAUAGUCGUGAAAGAUGAAUAUAAAUGAGUCAAAAGUACAUGAUGAAGAUAGGGCGAACAGCAGUUGGGUUAAGUCAAUUUUUGAUAACUGAAACCAAAAUAAUAAAAUAAAAAACAUGAAAAAAACAAGAAAAAAGCUAUGGAAAACUUGCGUGUCCACAGAACUAUGGUUUGUAGGAAGGAGGGGUUUUCUGAUGCAGAACUUCUGAGAUAAGGAUCAUCAAAUCGAAUAUUUUCCUCCAUACUGCUUUCUUCUUUGAAUAUAUGGAUUCCAGUUGUUUUAAUGACUGAGCUCUCUAAGUCUAACACACCUUCUUUUCUUUUUUCUUUUUCAAACGAUAAUACACUUUGAUAUCUAACCUCCACAUGGUUCCAUUCCUUUCCCCAAGCCACUUCUUCAAACAGAUUAUUAUUUUUGAAACGUAAAUCUUGGAGAUCAAAGAUAUAUGUAUGAUCCAAUUUCAACAUACUUCCUAUCUUCUUACUUCCAUAAUAGAGCGGAAAUUUUAGAAUUUUUCCAUUGAUGAACACCUUUGGAUUAAGGACACCAAUCCCAGUAGACACAGGUGCAAUAAGAAGACAAAGAAGUUUGGCAGGGAAUUUAUUACGAAACCAGAAAGAACUUGAAUGUCCACUGCUUUGCUGAUUGAACCACUCUGGUAUUCUUCUUCCUGGAAACAUAAAACAGGUUCCUCCAGCCUCAUGCAGUUUCUGUUAGUCAUAUAAUUCAUACAGAAUUCAUAAGUUUAACAAUAUUAAGUGCACUAUACAUCAUCAAAUCAUAUACAUUAUAAAAAAGACAAUACCUGAUUUAAAAGCAUGUUUUUACUCGAGGAAGUCAAGGAUGCACAGUUACUUGCAUCGAGAUACUUUAAGUUUGGUGGAAGCCCUCUAAUUUCCUGAAGAUGCUCGCAAUGACUCAUGUCAACACUUAUUAAAAACUGCAAUUCUUUGAAGAAUUCAGGAAGGAUUGUGAAAUUAUUCCCGGAUAGAUUUAAAUAUCUUACAUGAGCAAACCUCUUGAAACCUGCUAAAAAAAAAUCAUCACAUAGAUUGCAAUUCAUGGCAGAAAACGAAUGUGCCUUUGAAGACGGUAUUGGGCCCACUUUUUUUUCACCUUCUUCGGAUUCUACCCAUUGCCACCUGUUGCAAUUAUAAAUAUCGAUUCCAGACAGUUCGGGCAUCAUGGCUAAGCUACAUGGUAACUUAACAAUUCCACAGCUCCCCAGGGUUAACCAUGGGAGUCCAAUAAGAUUUUGAAAUGAAAACGGCAAUUCUUUUAUGUGAAGGCCAUACAAAAAAAGAUGCUUUAUAUUUUCCAUCUCUCCUAAUAUUUCUGGAAAAUACUCAAGACUGGAACAGUGAGAAAGUGCAAGUGUUUCAAGAGAGGUCAAGUUGAGAGGCGGAAAACUCGUAAGCUUCCUGCAACCAUAAGCACUCAAUUUUUUAAGUUUAUUCAGAAAACCAAUUGAGUCAUCAACUGCAACUAAACUCUCACACCAAUUAAAUGAAAGUUCCUUCAAAUUUGGGAGAUCAGAUACAUCAGGUAUCUUUGUUAAAAAUUCGCACUGGUCAAAAUUUAAAACUGUUAGAUGCCCGAGCUUCUGCAAAGACAAAAAAAAAAAGAAAGAAAGAAGAACCAUAUGAAUAAAUUUAAAGUGAAUUUAUGAAUUCACGGGAUAAGGAAAAUAUACUCUUUAAACUUGCCUUGGAUGAGCCAUGGAACUCAAAUGACGUAAUGGAGCUGUCAGGUAACUUGCAUAUAACAAGGUUGAUAGGAUCAAAGUUAGAUGGUAAACAAUUUGAAGGAUAUCUGUGCCAUUCCAGUACUCUUAAACCUUCUGGAAAAUAAUUGGGACCUUUGGAAAAUUUGCAAUUUCUAAUAAUAAGUAUUUUAAGGUUUUUCAUCUUCAUGAAGGCGUUUUCAUUCCAUUCCACUGUUUCUUCUUUGUCAGAUAUGGAGAAAUCCAGACAUAUGAUUUCAAUUUUACUAGUCCCCUGUUAAUGCAAAAAGGCACGAAUCAACCACAAUACAACUUGUAUGAAAUAUCAAUUGACUCACUUAGAGAAAUUUACAAAUUAUCAAGAAAAAGUUAACUAUGAUGUAAAUAUGAGAUAGGCAAAAAAAAUUUCAACUAUUCAUGAGCUCACUCACCGUGUUGUCUUUUAAAACUUGAAUGAUAUCUUUUGGUAACAAUAAUCUCUUGCACUUCCCUGGCUCUUCUGGUGAUCCAACUUGUAUGAAAUAUCAAUUGACUCACUUAGAGAAAUUUACAAAUUAUCAAGAAAAAGUUAACUAUGAUGUAAAUAUGAGAUAGGCAAAAAAAAUUUCAACUAUUCAUGAGCUCACUCACCGUGUUGUCUUUUAAAACUUGAAUGAUAUCUUUUGGUAACAAUAAUCUCUUGCACUUCCCUGGCUCUUCUGGUGAUCUCUGCCGCUCAAUUUCUCUACCCAUGUCCUGGAUCAUGUCGUGCAUUUCAACAGUAUCACAGCAGCUAACCUUUACGAGAGAUUUUUCAACCAACACCCCAAUAUGAUGUUUGGUGCAGUUACCAUAAAGGUCACGGAGUAUAUCAUCAACCUCUGUCCAUUUAUACCCUUUGAAUCAACAAGCAAUGCCAAGAAAAACAUUCUUUUGUUCUUCCCCCAAAGCAUCAAAGCUUACUUUUAGAAUCUCUUGGAUUUCAUCACUGGGAAUUCUUUUAUAAUGUUCCAUAGCAGAUUCCCAUUCAGCUACAGUUUUUUCAAACAAGUUGGAACCUAUAACUUCCAAAGCCAAUGGAAGGCCAGAAGCAUAAGUUACUACACGAUUCAAGACAUCCUCAUAACUUGGAUCAAUUUUUUCUCUUUUAAAAGCAUUCCACGUAAGCAAUUGAAGAGCAGCACUCUGAUUUAAAACCUUCACCUCAUAGGUUCUUUCAACCUCAUGAUAUUUUAGCAGAUGUUUGUCCCGAGUGGUAAUGAUGACUCUGCUACAGGGACCAAACCAAUCAGGUCUUCCAACAAUAGCCUUUAAUUGCUCGCGCUUAUCAACAUCAUCUAAAAUCAAGAGAACCUUCUUUCGUUGGAGCCUAUGUUGUAUCAUUGAAGCUCCUUCUUGCCAACUUGUUAAGGUGAUGUCCUUCUCCCCAAGUAAUUUUGAAAGAAGGAUGCUUUGAAGGUGUUUUAACCCAUGUUUAUUUGAUUCUUCUCUCACAUUUUGAAGAAAACAGGAUUCAUCAAAAUGGAGAGCAAUCAAAUUAUAAACUGCCAGAGCAAGUGUUGUUUUUCCUAACCCGCCCAUUCCAUGGAUCCCUAUGAUGUGGACAACAUCAUGGGAUCCAACAUCCAAAAGCUUCCUUACCUCUAUCACUUGUGACCCUAGACCAACUGGAUAAUCCGCAACAUGUAAAGGAGCACGAUUAAUCUCCCUAGAAACCUGCUCAAAAUACUCUGGAUAAACUUGUAUUCAUAUGCAUCUCUGUUUCAAACAAACAAAAUAAGUUCUGAUGAAGUCAGCCUAAAAGCCUUGCAUCCAUGUCUUGAUAGGUACAUUAAUUGUCAAGGUUAACAAGAGCAUUUCUUUUCUAUUUAAAUUUUACUAGUUAAAUCAAUCGACAAGUAAAACCUAAUCCAAUAAAAACCAUAAAGUAAAAUAUAUUACUAUGAUUGUAUACCCAUCUUUGAAAUGAUAGCCACACAAGUCAGCUACUUGUUUCAAAGCGAUCCUCCAUUUCUGCAGCUUCUCCUUCCUAGCUUUGAACCUCUUCUGAUGCUUAGCCAUUUCUUCUUCAUAACUACCUUUCUGGUGUCUGACAUCAGAAGGAUCUACGUUGUAAAAGACCGGUAUAACCAACAGCCCUUUCCUCUUGCAGUGAAGGAUGGUUACAAGUUCAUCUAAACAAAAUGAGGAAGAAGCAUAGUUUUCAGAAAGCACAGUGAUAGCAAUCCUGGACUCUUGAAUUGCCUUCAAAAGUGCAGGUGUUAUUUCCUCUCCGCUGUGAAGCUUCUUUUCGUCAAAGAAGGUAUGAAUUCCCUUGUCACAAAGAGCCCUGUAUAGAUUGCCAGUGAAACCAUGGCGUGUGUCUUCCCCUCUGAAGUUGAGGAACACAUCGUAGAUGGAUGCACGGGAACAUGUUGUUGCAGCCAUUAUUAGAAGAAAAAAGUUUAGUAUGAUUAUGGUUGAUAUGGUGGGAGUGUAGAAUCAAACUUGAACAAAUAUGAAAAUGAAAGUAUACCAAAUGUUAUAAAAGUCAAGGCAAGCUCUUGUAAAGAAAGAUGCUCUCACUUUUUUCAUUUUAAAACCUACUUUUUAUAAUCAAAUUAUUACAAAUAAACAAUAAAAGUAUUUUUAAUAAUGGGUACUGUAUUUCAAAUAAUUAACUGGUGGUACUACUAAUUCUCCCGCCCCAAAAAGAAUUGUUAAUUAGAGAAUCAAAAUAUAUAUUAACUAAUAAGUAAUCUGAUAAUUUUUAAUCACAAGAGCUUUAAAAUUUGUCUUUUAUAUAUAUAAAUUUCUCAUUGAAAGAGUUUUAUAAUUACCUUGAUAAUUUUGCUGAAAACACCCACACAUAAGAUGUUUUACUUUAAGUCAGAUGUAUUUGUUCGAAAAGUAAUAGAAGUUAAUUUUGUAUAAUAAAAAUAAUGUGAGUAAAUUAUUUUACAAGAAAUUUAUAUCCGUAUUUUUUUAUAAAAAUUAUCCAAAAUCAUCAAUCACUCAUCAUUUUCUUCCCUUCCCAAUGUACUGUUGACAUCCUUAAUAUAUUUUCAAGUAUUUUUCAGUAACUACUGAAUUUUUUGUUUCACAUAACAAACCACACUGAAACUCUGGCAUGAUUAUAUGGAAUUAUUUAUCUCUCAUAGUUGAUUCUAUUUACCACAUUUUGUAGAAACUAGAUCAUUUUUCCUCACACAUUUCUUGUGGUCUUUUGCAAGAAUGAAAAGUUAAAAAGUGUGUUUCAUUGCAGUAAAUUUCUGGUGGUUCGUGUUGAGACUCGUUGGCAAGUGUACCAAAUCGUCACAAGUAGUAAAGUACUCGGAAGUCCGAGUGUCGAAUCCACAGGGACUUUGUUUGUACUUAGAUUAAUGCAAAUCCAACUUAAAAGCAAGAGAUAAGAAUUUAAAAAAAAGAUAGAAGAUAAGGUAAAGAAAAGAUAAAAGAUUUAAAGAUAAAAUUAGGAGAUGAAAGAAUUAAAGAUAAAAUUAAAAGAUAAAGAAAAAGAUAAAAGAUAAAAGAUUUAGAUAAAAUAAUAUUAGGAACUGACUUGCCUUGUCUGCCUAGGAUGUAUGAGUUUAUGAUUUUUUCUUUACCAAUUCAGGUGAUUUUAUCCCACCCACAUCUAUUCAUUUACUUGCCCCUGAUGCCUCACAAUGACAAGUCUAUUUUACCUAUCUAUCCCCCAAAUGCCUUUGCAAAGACUCAAUAGAUAAAAUGCAUGAAGUUCUAAUUCUAGAUGUUUGCUUUGACGCAUGGGCAUAAUGCAAUCACUCUAUGCCUAGCAAUGAUUUUAUUAUGAUAUCUUUUCUUCUUGUUCUAUUAGAAGUUAUCCUCUCCCGAGCGUCUAACCCCUAAAACUAAUGCAUGCAUAUCUUCUUUAAAUCUUAUUUAGAAGUUACCCUCUCCCCUGAGCAUCUAACCCCUAACAGAAUAUAAAGAUGAGUAUGCAAGAUAAAAAUAUAAAAGAAAAUAGGAAAGAAAAACCUAGUAUUGCAUUGAUAAAUAGUGAAGAGUACAUCAUACAUCACUUUGGCUUCUAGGCCUGCCAGGCCCUAACUAAGGGUUUAGCCACUCAUGGCCGAGGGCUUUACAAGUAGAAGAGGGGGGAAAGAAAAGGAGUAAAUGAAACCCCUAGGAGAGGGGGUUCUGUCGUGGUGUGUUCUAUCCCUUGGACUGGCUCUCUAUUUAUAGCUGCUGAAGUGGGCUUUGGGCCUUCGUAGGCGCGCUCAGCGCGACACCCCCACGCUCAGCGCGUGUAGAUCGCGCGCUUAGCGCGCAUGUUUCAGGCUUAGCGCACGCUUCUGUUAGAUCGCGGGCUUAGCACGCGUGUUGCAGGCUUAGCGCGCGCUUCUGUUGGAUCAUGGGCUUAGCGCGUAACGCGCGCUCAGCGCACGUAUUGGACUGGGCCUGCUUCAGAUUUUCUUCUUUUCUUCAAUUUUUCUAGCCUUUUUGCUUGUUAUACCUUCAGUUUUUAUAUCUGCAGCCAAAAUUCAACAAAACAUCAAUUCUUUAAUAUUUAAGCGCAAAUAACUGCUAAAUAAUUAUUUUUAAAGACAAUUUUGCCUUAUUUUCUAUCAUCAAAAUACAAUUAUUUAGCAGUUAUCAGUUCGUGCUUAUAUAUCUGUUUUAUUCCCCUGUAAGAGUGCUGAUUUUCUUUUAAUUCUGUUGGCUGAUCAAUGCUCAUGUAUAUGUUUCUAAACUUGAAAGUAACGUGAUAUCCAUUCUUCACCUUAAAUUUGUAAGAGAAUAAUUUUCGUUGAUGUAUAUUUCUUUUGCCAGCUCUCCGUCAUUUUCGUUGAUGUAUAUUUCUUUUGCCAGCUUUUGAUAUAAAUUUUGUCAUAAUUGAACAAGAUUGAAUCAUUUAGAUAGAUAGAUAAUAGCAACAUAUUAUUUAGUAUCGUUCAUUUUCUUAAAAGAAAACUUGUGUAUACUUGUGAAAUGAAACAACGAAAUAAUAGUUGGUUCACUUUGAUUGUUUAAAAAAAAAAAAACUACAUGAAAUGAAUUACAUUAUGAGAAAGAACACAUACCUAAAAAAAGAGUAAAGUGAAAUUAAGUAGCUCAUUCAUGCCAUUAAGUAAAUUAUAAUAAUUUUUCUUAACUUAAGAACAAAUGCUACAAAUAAAUGUUGAGUUUAGAGACGAAACCAAUACCAAGUUGAAUAUGUUGGGGAGGAUUCUGCUGAACUCUCUCUUGACGUGAUUAAUGAAGUUUUUCUCUAUUUAUCAUUAUCCUAAUGUUCUUUGCACCGUCAAAUUUACUUUAACUGUGAUCUCUCACAUAAAAGAGCCUAAUCCUCCUAAUUUCAUUCUUGAUUCCUCAAUGAAUUCCGUCUAAGUGGGCCACAUUACAAAUUAGAUGCAAAUUAUACUAGAUUAGUUCACACUAUUCUUAGAAAUGAAGACUUCUAGAUGUUCUACCAAGUUCUAAGGACUAAAAGAAUUUCCCAACACUUCAAUCCUAACAAAGCAUAUAAAUGGAUAAUCAAGCCACAAAUAUUAAAGACAACCACAGAUAGAAGUAGAUAACACUAGCAAAUAAUAUUAAAUAGAUAGUUAGAGUUUUUGCAUCAAGAGUGUUGAGUGAAAAACUCUCCAACAAUGAAGUGUUUAGCCCUUCAUUAGCAUGGAGAGCUCAGUACAAGGCUAAAAAUAAGGUAGAAAUGGAAUGGUGAAGUAAAGAUAUGGAGAAAGCCGCUUGCUUUUCUUCCUUCAGCCUUGGUGCUCUGUUUUCGUCUCACCCACGCUGCAUGUGUUGUUUGGCUUCCCCCUCUCUUCCAGCUUUAAAGGCUUUUGGGCUUCUCAAAUUAUGAAUGUGCGUUUAGCGAGCAUGUCUCGCUGAGUGAGAGUUCGUGACUGGGUGCUUAGCGGAUGUGGAUGCGCUAAGCACGAGAAACGACAAAGGCAGUUACUGGGCAAGCUGGCUGCAGCUAAGCACAAUGCUCUUUGAAUUUACAUUCUCUAAGAGUUUUCUCUCACUGGGUGAGUUGGCUUCCUCGCUAAACAGAUUAGGCUCGCUUAGCUAAUCGCUAAACAAGCUCUUCAGCAUGCACUUCCAAAUCUUGCUUCCUUAAACCUGAAAAUCCAAAUGAUAAUAAUAUCAAUCAUCAAAAUGAAGCCUCCACCGUAUAAAACUCACACAAAAUCAAUUAUAUACAAAUCUCACGCAAGAAACCAUAAUACUAAUUAGAGUUACAUUGCCACUUUUCAUCUACUUUUCAAUACAUUUGGUACUCUUGAAUAACAAUUAUCAAUUUAUUUCUUUGGCUACUUCCUAUCCUUAUUUAUGCCACGUUUUUAAUUUCCAUUCAUAAAUUUAAAAACAACAAGCUAUCAGCCAUCCUAAGACAAUCCUUAUGCAGAAAAUGAAGAAGACAUUAUCUAGCUUAAAGAUAUUUGAUCCAAUAAAUUACACUAGUUAUUCUUGAGAUUUUGUGAAAUUUCACAAACUUUUCAUACUUUUUUUACCCCUACACUAACCCCUUAAUUAUUUCGAAAACAUUAUUCCGAUACCUUUUAUACAUUAUACUAAUCCACCUUAAUUGUUUGAAGAACAUUACACUGUGUUCGCUUAUAAAGAAAGUAGUUGUAAAUGUUAAAAAAACAAGAAAGACUUGUGCAAUUUCACGAAAUCUCAAAAAAUAUAUAUUGGUGUAAUUUAUUAUAUAUACUUGAUUUAAUUAAUUUAGAGAGGCAUAUAGAAGUAGAAGUAAACAGAAAUCUAUUUAUAUGCCCAACUCAAACUCAAUAAGAAUCCUAGGUAGGCAUUCUGCUUACAAGUAUGCAAAAUUUAACUUUCUCAACUGCUAUGAACAGUUGAUAUAGAUCAUAUAGGAGUAUGCCAGCUAAAUCCUAAGAAGUACACUUUCAAAAUUUAACUAAUUGAAGUUUUUCUGGUUCCUGAUCAAAUUAUUUAGCAUAACCAGCAGGAACCUGAUCAUCAUAGCAAUUAGAAGGGUAAAAGUUGAACCUGCAAAAGCAAAAAAGUGAAAGAUCUAAAUUUGUAUUGACUGAAAUAUUUAAAAUGGGUAAAUAACCAAUUUCCUAUAUGAAAGUGUAAAACAAUGUUAAUUUAAUUCCUAAAAGUAAUAAAAUGAAGGAAAGAAGAAAUCUCCUUACCGUAUCACUUUAGUUCCUAAACUUAAUACUUAUUGUCAUUUAAUCCAUGAAGCUAUGCUUAUAUUUUUAAGUCACACAACAUUUAGAAUUUUUGGACUAAAAUUGAAAUAUAUUAUUAAAUAAAUAUACAAAUAUAUUAUUAUAUUGUUUUAUAGUAGAACUUGUAAGGGAAAAUCUAAAACUAAACAAAAAGUAUAUUAAACAAUUUUUUUUUACUUUCUUUUAAUUACAAUGUAUAUAUAAGAUAUCUGUUGGUUUAUGUAAUUUUGAAAUCUAACUAUAAAAAUAUACAGCAAGAUAAAACUUGAAAGGUUAUAUAUAGAAAAUGCAUAAAGUCGUGAAAGAUGAAUAUAAAUGAGUCAAAAGUACAUGACGAAGAUAGGGUAAACACCGGUCAGUUGGGUUAAGUGAAUUUUUGACAACUGAAACCAAAAUAAUAAAAUAAAAAACAUGAAAAAAAUAAGAAAAAAGCUAUGGAAUUGCGUUUCCCAAAGGCUAUGGUUUGUAGCAACGAUGGGCUUUCUGAUGCAGAACUGCUGAGAUAAGGAUCAUCAAAUCGAAUAUCUUCCUCCAUACUGCUUUCUUUGAAUAUAUGGAUUCCACUUGCCUUAAUGAUUGAGCUCUCUAAGUCUAAGACACCUUCUUCUCUCUUUUCUUUUUCAUAGGCUAACACACUUUGAUAUCUAACCUCCACAUGGUUCCAUUCCUUUUCCCUAGCCAUUUCUUCAAACCGAUUAUUAUUUAUGAAAGCAGACGCUUGGAGAUCAAAGAUAUAUGUAUGAUCCAAGUUCAACCUACUUUUUAUCUCGUGUCUUCCAAAAUAGGGCCGAAUUUCUUGAAAUUUGCCAUUGAUGAACACCUUUGGAUUAAGGACAACAAUCCCAGUAGACACAGGUGCAAUAAGAAGACAAAGAAGUUUGGCAGGGAAUUUAUUACGAAACCAGAAAGAACUUGAAGGUCCACUGCUUUGCUGAUCGAACCACUCUGGUAUACUU
rnacentral:lncRNA from 1 species